rnacentral:lncRNA from 1 species
GGUACUGGAACCUAACUGCAGGGGUCUCCAGUUCUGCCAGAGCAUGACAUACAUGGCCUCAAGUCCAGGUUCUGACAGUCCUGAUUCCCACCUAAAACCUCCUGAGUCUGAACUUUGCUGUCUGCAUUCAUAUGAGGAUCAUGGUUUUCUGAGCUCUGACCAGAAUCACCUGUCAAGCUCAGCUUUCAGCAUUCUAGGGCUUCUCUACUUGACAUUUCCAGACCUUUCCAAACUCCUAUAGACCAGUUCCAAGGGCUUCUAAACCUACAGUCAUAGCAACAAUAGUACUUCUCCAGUUCCAAUUUUCUUUAGAAGUCAUUUUACCAUCACUUGGACAAAAUACUUGACACCUGCAGCUUAGAAGUUUAUUUUUAGUUCACAGUUCAGUGGAUUCAGCCCAUGGUUGGUGACUCACUCCAAAGCAGAAACAUCAUGGUGGAAGGGCCUGGUAGAGGAAGGAUGCUCACCUCAUGGCAGCCAGGAAACAAGAGAGGACCUGGUACAAGAAUACGGCCUUCCAGAUCACACCCCAAUGACCUGGCUCCUCUGAUGGGGCCUUGCCUCCCAUAGCACAUUCAGCUAUGAGCUCAUCAGUGGAUUAAUAAACCGAUGAGUAUAGCAUCCAAUGAUCCAAUCACCUUUCUUUCUUUCUUUUUUUUUGGUACCAGGGAUUGAACUGGGAUCCUUGUGCUUGCACACCGGGCGGCGAAACCACUGAGCUAAAUUCCCGGACCCCAAUCACCUUUCAAUAGCCCACUUCUGAACACAAAACUUUCAGGGCUACAUUUUAGGUCUGAACCAUAACAGUGACGGAGAACUGACUAACACAGUCGCCAUGGCGCCUGGGCCAAAUGGGUGCUCGGAAUUCAACACCAUCCACAGGAAUACAGAGGAAAUCUAAACUCCUGUCACAGGCACCGUUCCUGGCAGUCAAGCAGGCCUGGAAUCCGGUGGCCAUCAGAGUCGGAAGGGGUCCCCGAGGCCAGCCAUGAAGGGAGUGGUUCUGUCCUGUCACACAACCCUGCCAGGAUGUGCUGCCCUGCCAUAGCCUAAAAGCAACAGCCAACUGACUGUGGGUUGGAGCCUCUGAAACCAUGAGGUCACAGCCUUGGCCACACAUCAGCAUCACCAGGGAGCUUUAAAAAAUAGUGAUGCAGG